rnacentral:rRNA from 1 species
UAACACAUGCAAGUCGAGGGGCAGCAUGGUCUUAGCUUGCUAAGGCCGAUGGCGACCGGCGCACGGGUGAGUAACGCGUAUCCAACCUGCCUUACACUCUUGGACAGCCUUCUGAAAGGGAGAUUAAUACAAGAUGUUAUCAUGAGUAAGCAUUUUCACAUGAUUAAAGGUUUACCGGUGUAAGAUGGGGAUGCGUUCCAUUAGAUAGUAGGCGGGGUAACGGCCCACCUAGUCUUCGAUGGAUAGGGGUUCUGAGAGGAAGGUCCCCCACAUUGGAACUGAGACACGGUCCAAACUCCUACGGGAGGCAGCAGUGAGGAAUAUUGGUCAAUGGACGAGAGUCUGAACCAGCCAAGUAGCGUGAAGGAUGAAGGUUCUAUGGAUUGUAAACUUCUUUUAUACGGGAAUAAACGAAUCCACGUGUGGAUUUUUGCAUGUACCGUAUGAAUAAGGAUCGGCUAACUCCGUGCCAGCAGCCGCGGUAAUACGGAGGAUCCGAGCGUUAUCCGGAUUUAUUGGGUUUAAAGGGAGCGUAGAUGGGUUGUUAAGUCAGUUGUGAAAGUUUGCGGCUCAACCGUAAAAUUGCAAUUGAUACUGGCAGUCUUGAGUACAGUUGAGGUAGGCGGAAUUCGUGGUGUAGCGGUGAAAUGCUUAGAUAUCACGAAGAACUCCGAUUGCGAAGGCAGCUUACUAACCUGUAACUGACAUUGAUGCUCGAAAGUGUGGGUAUCAAACAGGAUUAGAUACCCUGGUAGUCCACACGGUAAACGAUGAAUACUCGCUGUAGGCGAUAUACAGUCUGCGGCCAAGCGAAAGCAUUAAGUAUUCCACCUGGGGAGUACGCCGGCAACGGUGAAACUCAAAGGAAUUGACGGGGGCCCGCACAAGCGGAGGAACAUGUGGUUUAAUUCGAUGAUACGCGAGGAACCUUACCCGGGCUUAAAUUGCAACCGAAUAUGGCGGAAACGCUAUAGCUAGCAAUAGCGGUUGUGAAGGUGCUGCAUGGUUGUCGUCAGCUCGUGCCGUGAGGUGUCGGCUUAAGUGCCAUAACGAGCGCAACCCUUGCCGAUAGUUACUAACAGGUCAUGCUGAGGACUCUGUCGGGACUGCCAUCGUAAGAUGUGAGGAAGGUGGGGAUGACGUCAAAUCAGCACGGCCCUUACGUCCGGGGCUACACACGUGUUACAAUGGGGGGUACAGAGGGCUGCUACCACGCAAGUGGAUGCCAAUCCCAAAAACCUCUCUCAGUUCGGAUUGAAGUCUGCAACCCGACUUCAUGAAGCUGGAUUCGCUAGUAAUCGCGCAUCAGCCACGGCGCGGUGAAUACGUUCCCGGGCCUUGUACACACCGCCCGUCAAGCCAUGGGAGCCGGGGGUACCUGAAGUGCGUAACCGCAAGGAGCGCCCUAGGGUAAAACUGGUGACUGGGGCUAAGA